GCAAACUUGGUCAUUUAGAGGAAGUAAAAGUCGUAACAAGGUUUCCGUAGGUGAACCUGCGGAAGGAUCAUUAGUGAAUAAACCAGAGUGGAUUGUGCUGGCCUUUUUGGCAUGUGCACGUUCACCAGUGUUUCAUUCUUUUCUUCUCCACCUGUGCAUUUUUUGUAGGUCUGUGUUGUUAUCUUUCAAGCCCCUUGUGGCUGGGUUUAGAGAAGUUGCUUGCUGAUCCAGUCAGGCUCUUCUUGGACAAUGCAGGCCUAUGUUUUACAUCAACACCUAGAUGAAUGUAAAUGAAUGUGUUUUCAGGCUUUUUGUGCCUUUAAAUUAUAUACAACUUUCAACAACGGAUCUCUUGGUUCUCGCAUCGAUGAAGAACGCAGC
rnacentral:misc_RNA from 1 species